CCCUUAGAUGUUCUGGGCUGCACGCGCGCUACACUGAUACUUUCAGCGAGUCCACCACCUUGCCUGGGAGGGUGGGGUAACCUCUGGAAAGUGCAUCGUGAUGGGGAUCGAUUAUUGUAAUUAUUAAUCUUCAACGAGGAAUUCCUAGUAAGCAUGUGUCAUCAGCCCGUGCUGAUUACGUCCCUGCCCUUUGUACACACCGCCCGUCGCACCUACCGAUUGAAUGGUCCGGUGAAGCCUCGGGAUUGUGAUGAGUCUCCUUUAUUGGGGGUUCGUCGUGAGAACUUGUCUAAACCUUAUCAUUUAGAGGAAGGUGAAGUCGUAACA
rnacentral:rRNA from 1 species